rnacentral:rRNA from 1 species
AUGGCGGCGAAGGUGCUCCAGCUCCGUAGCUCCGACGGCAAGGUGCUCGUCGCUCCGGCGUGGGACUAUCGCCCGGCCGCCGCCCAAGACCGUCCGCUGGAGACGCGGGUGCCCUCGCGCGUCCUCGCGAGGGUGCUCGGACCAAGCACAACCUUGCCAAGGCCACCGGUGAGUCCCGGGAGUCCCUCGCCCGCUGGGACGCCGACUUCCAGCGCCGUCUCGAGGAAGACGGCCUCGCCAAGGAGGCCGCCGCAGCCGCCCAAGAACUCCGCCGCUACGGCGUCGACCAUGGAGGGCGUCCCCAUCGCCACGCCGCCACGGCCGCAUCUGAUGUCGCUGCUCCUGCCAAGGCGGCCCGUGCUGAUCCCGUCCGUGUCUGGUGUGUCAACCACGGAGAACGCAUCCAUGCGCCGGCGAUGCCCGGCUCCUUCGAGGCCUCUGAUAUUGCCUCCGCCGCGCGCCCUGGGCCUGCCACCACCUUGCCGGCCGCUGCUGGUGCUGACUCCGUCGACGUCCGGUGCGCCAUCCGUGCCCGUGGACGCCAGAUGGCUGAAGACGAGGAGUCCGCUUGCCACCACCGCAAGCACCCGGAUUCCAAGCCUCGCUCUUCGGUCUGCCUGCCUGCCACUGCUGCUGCGCCUGUGA